UUGUCGUCAGCUCGUGUCGCGAGAUGUUGGUAAGUCCCGCAACGAGCGCAACCCUCGACCUUAGUUGCCAGCAUUCAGUUGGGCACUCUAAGGUGACUGCCGGCUAAAAGUCGGAGGAAGGUGGGGAUGACGUCAAAUCAUCAUGCCCCUUAUGACCUGGGCUACACGCGUGCUACAAUGGGCGGUACAAAGGGUCGCGAACCCGCGAGGGGGAGCCAAUCCCAAAAAGCCGCUCUCAGUUCGGAUUGCAGGCUGCAACUCGCCUGCAUGAAGCCGGAAUCGCUAGUAAUCGCGGAUCAGCAUGCCGCGGUGAAUACGUUCCCGGGCCUU
rnacentral:rRNA from 1 species